rnacentral:tRNA from 1 species
GUUAAAACUUUUUGUGCUGACUCGAUACUUUAAAAUAAAAGACCUGAUUUGCAUUUAGAUAAUAAGUUUGAAAACUUUCGGGUC